UCGGACUGAGCAACUGCUAGAUCCUUGGACUUCCAUCCACAGCUGCUGCUGACCAUUGUUGGGGAGUUGGACUAUAGACUGGAGUAACCCUAUUCGGAGGCAUGGCCUUGUUGGAAUAGGUGUGUCACUGUGAGUAUGGGCUUAAGACCCUCACCCUAGUUGCCUGGAAGUCAGUCUUCUACUAGCAGUCUUCAGAUGAGGGUGUAGAACUCUGAGCUCCUUCUGCACCAUGCCUGCCUGGAUGCUGCCAUGCUUCUACCUUGAUGACAACGGACUGAACCUCUGAGCCUGAAUCCCGGAGUUUGAUUGACAGCACCUCUUAAAAACUGUGCAUAAAGUUGGAGAGAUGGCUUGGUGCUUCAUGCUCUUCUAGAGGACCUGAGUUCAGUUCUCAGGACACAAGUUGAGCUGAUGACAACUGAACUUCCAACUCCUGGAAA